rnacentral:tRNA from 1 species
GAGGGUGUAGCCCAGUGGUAGAGUGCAUGCUUGGCAUGGACGAGGUCCUGGGUUCAAUCCCCAGUAUCUCCA